UCCCUGGUGGCUCAGUGGUAAAAGUACCUGCCUGCAAUGCAGGAGACCCAGAUUUGAUUCCUGAGUUGGGAA
rnacentral:tRNA from 1 species